AACGAACGCUGGCGGCGCGUUUUAAGCAUGCAAGUCGAACGGUAAUAGGGUGCUUGCACUCUAUGAGAGUGGCGAACGGGUGAGUAACACGUAGGUGAUCUAUCUUGGGGUCUGGGAUAGCCUGUGGAAACACAGGGUAAUACCGGAUACGAACUGGCCAUUGAGGUGGCUGGAGGAAAGCCGCUAAGGCGGUGUCCUGAGGUGAGCCUGCGGCUCAUUAGUUAGUUGGCAGGGUAAUGGCCUACCAAGGCGACGAUGAGUAGCCGGCCUGAGAGGGUGAUCGGCCACACUGGAACUGAGACACGGUCCAGACUCCUACGGGUGGCUG
rnacentral:rRNA from 1 species